ACUAUACGGUUGUGUCUGUUGGACCAGGUUAUUUAUCAUGUGAUGGAUGAGAAUUCGCCGAAGAAGAUCUGGGAGAAGCUGGAAAGUCAGUUUAUGUCCAAGACUGUGACGACCAAGGUGUAUCUGAAGCAAAAGUUGUAUGGGAUGAGGAUGCAGGAGGGG
rnacentral:rRNA from 1 species